ACUUACGUCCUCCAAAUCUGAGACGUUAAAAAACUCCUGGACUGAGGCCCCAGAAUUCCUGGCAUCCUCCUGGUAGGUGCAGACGCCCCUCUGAGAAGCGUCCAGGAGUGGGCGUCCCCUCCAGAGGCCACCUCCUGCCCCCAUCUGGGUCUCUUUCUGCCUCUCCAGCUUCCCAACGACCAGCCUCGGCAGCUCUGCGUGGAGUCCAGCUUUCUGCCUCCCCUCUGCCAGACCUCGGAGUGCUUCAGUGACUUUGAUGUUCUUCUUGUGGGUGGGCUGCUCCCUCCCGAGGCUCUACAGAUACCUGCAGGCUGAAAACUCUCCAAAAGACAUCAUUUCCCCAGACUGCCCAUCUGCCCAUAAGCUUCAGAAUGGCCCCAAGUCCGGCCGUCCCUGCCCGCAGACGAUGGCCUCCCAGUGCAUCAGGCCAUGUUAGCUUUGGUUCAGCCCAGCCCGUCUCCAC